UGCAGUCGAGCGGAGCAUAUGUGGAGCUUGCUCCAUUAGUGCUUAGCGGCGGACGGGUGAGUAACACGUGGGCAACCUGCCCUGCAGAUCGGGAUAACUCCGGGAAACCGGUGCUAAUACCGAAUAGUUUGCGGCCUCUCAUGAGGCUGCACGGAAAGACGGUUUCGGCUGUCACUGCAGGAUGGGCCCGCGGCGCAUUAGCUAGUUGGUGAGGUAACGGCUCACCAAGGCCACGAUGCGUAGCCGACCUGAGAGGGUGAUCGGCCACACUGGGACUGAGACACGGCCCAGACUCCUACGGGAGGCAGCAGUAGGGAAUCUUCCGCAAUGGACGAAAGUCUGACGGAGCAACGCCGCGUGAGUGAAGAAGGUUUUCGGAUCGUAAAACUCUGUUGUGAGGGAAGAACAAGUACCAACUAACUACUGGUACCUUGACGGUACCUCACCAGAAAGCCACGGCUAACUACGUGCCAGCAGCCGCGGUAAUACGUAGGUGGCAAGCGUUGUCCGGAAUUAUUGGGCGUAAAGCGCGCGCAGGCGGUCCUUUAAGUCUGAUGUGAAAGCCCACGGCUCAACCGUGGAGGGUCAUUGGAAACUGGGGGACUUGAGUGCAGAAGAGGAAAGUGGAAUUCCACGUGUAGCGGUGAAAUGCGUAGAGAUGUGGAGGAACACCAGUGGCGAAGGCGACUUUCUGGUCUGUAACUGACGCUGAGGCGCGAAAGCGUG
rnacentral:rRNA from 1 species